rnacentral:tRNA from 1 species
GGGGGGAUAGCUCAGUGGUAGAUAGCAUGCUUGGUAUGCCUGAGAUCUUGGGUUCAAUCCUCAGUACCUCCA